GAUGAACGCUGGCGGCGUGCCUAAUACAUGCAAGUCGAGCGAACAGACGAGGAGCUUGCUCCUCUGACGUUAGCGGCGGACGGGUGAGUAACACGUGGAUAACCCACCUAUAAGACUGGGAUAACUUAGGGAAACCGGAGCUAAUACCGGAUAAUAUAUUGAACCGCAUGGUUCAAUAGUGAAAGACGGUUUUGCUGUCACUUAUAGAUGGAUCCGCGCCGCAUUAGCUAGUUGGUAAGGUAACGGCUUACCAAGGCAACGAUGCGUAGCCGACCUGAGAGGGUGAUCGGCCACACUGGAACUGAGACACGGUCCAGACUCCUACGGGAGGCAGCAGUAGGGAAUCUUCCGCAAUGGGCGAAAGCCUGACGGAGCAACGCCGCGUGAGUGAUGAAGGUCUUCGGACCGUAAAACUCUGUUAUUAGGGAAGAACAAAUGUGUAAGUAACUAUGCACGUCUUGACGGUACCUAAUCAGAAAGCCACGGCUAACUACGUG
rnacentral:rRNA from 1 species